rnacentral:lncRNA from 1 species
GGGAGAGCUCGUGGGAGAGAAAGAGAAGAGCAAGCUUGUGGAUUCGUCGAGCUAAGGUACGAGAGUUAGAUUACAUAUUCGUGAGUGAUUCGGAAGAGGGGAGGAUGUCGAUUCCUCCAUUCCCAAACUUUUUCCACUCUAUUUUCUUGUGGGUUUUGUGGGUGAUUUUCUUAAUGGAAAAUGGAUUCUUUUGAUCCUAACAUGUGUAGUGAACUCAUGGUAGAUGAGGUAAACAACUUUGGGGAGUUGAAAAUGGNN